CAGCGAAACUGCUAAAAAGUUGGAUUAAAUUCAACUUUCAGCGACGUCGGUCUCGCGCAUAAAUGUGAAAUUUAAACAUGGAACUGCAAGAUAUAGCUGUACAUACUUGUGGAAUAUGUGAAAUAAUUAUUGAGGAAAAAAACAUUCCAACUCAUAGUUGUAUAGAAGGAUAUAAUCGGUUGUUAAUUGAUGAAAAUUUUACUUCUAUCCAGUAACAGAUGAUGAUGGCAUUGUUCGACGAAGCCUUGGUUGACAACGAAGAUGUCAUUCUGCCAGUUCGUGAACACAUUACAGGAACUAUUAAAAUACUUCCAACAAUAAAUAAGGAAGCAUCACAAAGGGAAAAUAAAACUAGAUCUCUCAAUAAAAGAAAUAAAUCGAAAAGCUACGAAAUCUACGUUUAAUUAUGACGACGAGGAACUCUUAAUUUUAUCCGUUCAAGAAAGAAGAUCUCUCUGGGAUUUUACUAUUCCACUAGAGCAGCGAUGCCAACGAUUGACAAAAAAAUUGUGGGAUGAAGUGUCUGAAACAUUGGGAGGUAAGCUUAGCGGAGAAGAAGCAAAAAAAAAAUUUAAAAAUUUACAUGACGUUUACCGACGAAUAAUUCAUUCCGAAAAUCACCCCAGUGGAUCGGCUAGACCUUCUCCUACACAAAAAUGGCACCAUUACGACUCCAUGGAGUUUCUGCGCGAUCUGUGCCUUGUCAAGAAGGGAAAAGCUUCAAAUAUUGACACUGAUGAUGACACUUCAAGUAUUGGCGAAUCAAUAAAUAAUGCAACUGGCGAUGGCAAUAAUGAUGAAGAGUUAGAAGUAUUAGGUGCGCCUAAAAAAAAAAAAAAAUAUGGGACAGCAGCCCAGUGCACUGGAAAGGAUUGCCGAUUCGCUCUGUCAACCACCAACUCCAUUUGUAAUACCAUCAGCACCCAAACCCGAUGAAAUUGAUUCGACUUUAGCAGUUAUUGGAUGCAGAUUAAGAUUGAUGAAUCGAAAGAAUCAGUUAGAUGUUAUUCAACGAAUUAUGAACUUAACUUAUAAUGUACUUCAAAAAGAAGAUUGAUUAUUAAUUA